rnacentral:lncRNA from 1 species
UUUGAACUCCAGGGGUUGCAUGGAUGAAUGCUGGAUUUCCUGGCCCCCCUUGCCAUGAUGCUGGAUUAACUGAAAUGAAACCAAUCACAAAAUCUGAAUGAUCCUCAGCAAUUUUUGCUGCUGCAGCCGUGUAGUCUCCCUUGGCAAGGUUACCAGAAGAACUCAUUUCUGCAAGAAGCAACAGGCCCCUACCACGAGGCAAACCCUAGGAACAUUGCAAGAGUAAUAAGAAAUUAGAGAAACAAUAGUUCCAAGGCUUUUCUACAAGUCCAGAUUGAUAUUAGGUUAAACUAUUAAUGCAAACCUUCAGUUUCAGACCAUCCACAAUUCCAGGACCAGAGAUUAUGUGAGCAUUAACUAUAUCUGCCCAGUCCAAUAUCCGAAAGAUACCUCUGCAAACAGCAGUGCCAAGAGCUGUUAAGAAAAUGCAAGAAAAGCAACAGAAAAAUAAAUUAAGACAUACCAGAUGCAGGAAAAGUGAGACUCACCCUUCAUACUGCAUGGUCACUGUGUUACCAAUGUCAGCAAACUUACGAUCUUCAAAGAUUAAGAAGUUAUGUCUCUCUGCAAUCUUCAAAAGGAUUAAACACACAAUCAGCAAUAACUUAACAAUAACUACAAUAAGACUACCCAAUCAGCUAAUGACAAAACUCAGAACUUCGGAACUGCUAUUGCACAAGGAACAUUGAUGCCUGACAAUUCAAAGACAGAAAGCAAAUAGGGAAUAUCUAUGCUUACAAGCCUAUUCUUUUUAUCAGAGCCUUUUUUGUUUUUUUGUUUUUUUUUAGGUAAAUCUUUGUCCCUACUGGGACUUGAACCUAGCACCUCCCACAAACCCUCCCCGUCCCUUUACCACUUCAGCCAGGUCUAAAGGGCUUGUUUUUAUCAGAGCUUAUAAGCCUAAUUUAAUUCCAAAAGAGAUGAUACAGUAAAAAUAAUGAAAAUUUCCCCUAAAUAAUGCUACAUAGCCUAUGGGAAACACAGAAAGAAAGCUUUUCCACGUUAACCAUUUUAACGAUAUAUGAAAACAAAGAAGAUUGCCAAAUGCUACAUCCCAUUAACCAAAAAAAUAAAUCAUUUCUCUCCCUAUUUGCUACUUUAUACAUGUCAAGAUACAUGGCUUCCAUAAGAAGACAUGAAAAUGGAUAUUAUUUAGUAAAUUUAUUAUGGUAAAGAAAGAUUGAGUUUAAUUGAGAACAAUAUGAGUUAAGAGGUAAACUGGUAAAGAGAGGUCUAUAGUGAUCUUAUGUUUUCAGAACCUAUCAUUCAGACUGAAUGUGGAAGCUGCAACUUUUAACAUAUUAUCAGGUUGAGAGUGGGAAAAUGUCAAGGAGGCAAUGGUGGACUGUAGAAAGUGAUCAAGAGAUAAGGUUCACAAUCGUGCAUAGUUUCGGUAUCUUGUUUUAUGAUGAUGUUCUGAGACAUAAUUCAUAAGGGUACUAUAAAGCACUUUCAGACUUUUCAGAAAACUGAACCUUCUCUAUUUUUAUGAUUAUAGGCAGGAAGAAAAGUUUUCAGGGUGAAUUAUUGCAUUGACACUUUUUUUUAUUAGUUGCCAUUAUAUACAUGGGUUACCCACCUCAACCCCAUUUCUUGUGCCCUUAAUCUAUUUGAUAAAUCACUGAUAAAAAAAUUUCAUCACCACCAAACGUGUGUGUGUGCGCGUGUGCAUGUUAGGUAUAUGUAUAGAUCACCAAUCCAAUAAAAGAAUAUACAUACAUACAUAUACAUAUAUAUAUAUAUAUAUAUAUAGAUAUAUAUAUAUAUAUGUAUGUAUGUAUUCAGGGCAGGUCUUCUGUACCAUUGAAUUUCAAUGAUGCCAUAAUGUAGCCCAUCAUUCAACAUGGGGCCAUUAAAGAACUGUGAGGCAUCGACAGCAUUGCUGGUAUAGGAUUAGUAGGAUUCCACAAAAUGGCAUCAAUUCAAACCUUUACCAUCAUUAGUGAUAUUUGGACCCCCUUUAAAAUGGGCAAUUUAUUUCUUCAAGUUUUAUACGAAGUGCAAUAGAACAGUCCAAUGCAAUGUGGAAAAAUUUUGCUAACUACAUGCAGUAGAUAAUCUGUGCAUGCUACAACUAUCUAUAACGCAAAGAAACAGAGUGCUCAUCUUGUACAAGGCAAACUCAUUCCAAACAGUAAAUAUUCAAAAACAAGAAAACAAUAAAAACUUGGUCAAAGGAAACUUAAAGUAUAUCCAUACCGAUCGAAGUUUGGAACCAAAAUCUGGGGUGAAAUCGGGGAAUAUGUCUACAUGGGUUUUUAAUAAGCAGAUCUCUGGCCCAACCUGCAAGAAUAUCCAAGGCAGCAUCAGCAACAACAGGUAACUUUUAACCUAGUAGAUUCUACAUUUCGUUUCAAAUCUUCUCCUCACCAAAAUGAUGUACUGUGUUGUGAACCAAACAUUACAAUUUUAACUUGAAAAUUUGAUUUGAGGAUUUUCUCCUAUUUCACAAUAUUAACUUAGUCAUAUCUUGAAGAUAACAACAUGAGCCACAAAAAAUGGAAACUCAAUCUUCUAGUUUCAAUGUCAAUGCCACAGCAGGUAUUCCACCAAUCUUAAAUUCACAUUUUCAGGAAGAUCCAACUGAAGUCAACAUGUCACAGGCUUGAACAUCAAAAGCCAAGGGCAGGCCGACGCUAUUUUGGACAAGAAAUUCAGGUCCAAUGUAGGCUCGAAUACCAUAAUCUGGGCCAAGCCCAAAAACUGGUUGGGCCUAAAACUUUAUGGCCAACCAGGCUGAGCCCAAAAAUAGUUCAGGCAUCUUUUUUGCACUCUGAUCAAACACAGCUCAAAAGCAAGUGGGACCAAUCUGGGGAGAGUGGCUCCAGAGCAGAUGCUUAUACUAUGAUCAGAGCAUGUCACGGCCCCAGUAGAAUUAACAUUUCCCCCUACUACACAUCUCAAAACCUAAGGGAAUGAUAAAAUACCCAAUACCUUGCCUAAAGAUAUUCUUAUAUUCAAAUACCUAAGCCACGUGAAAAAGUGAAAAAUAUAAAUUAAUUUCUCAUUUUCUCUGUUUGGUUGCUGAGAAAAUACAAUAAAAGAACAGGAAAGACUCAUCUCUUAAUGAUUUGGGACCUCAAAGCACUCCAAUCUUCUAUCACCUAAGCUUUAUUCACUUCAGAUUUUUUUUCACUUCCAGCCAAAUAAAUAAUACUUGUUUGAAGAUUUUACCAAGAAACCAAAAAAAAUUAAAAAAUUUAAAAAGAACAAAAUUUUCUCACCUUCUCAGCAAUGUCGAGCAACUCAGCAGCAGUGCCAACAUCUGCAGCCAAACACAGAUUACUCUGCUUCUCCACCAUCACCUCAAACAGCCUCUUCCCCGUUGGAUUCUUCGCCAGCUUUGCCCUCUCCCCAUACGACGAAACCCUAGACGCAACCUUAGCCUUCUCCGGCACCGAAACCUUCGAAUUCUCCUCCAAGAAUCUCAGCACCAUCGCCUCCGUUUCGUCUGAAACCUUUCCCUUCUCCCUUAACACCCCAACCAUCUCCCUCAGAUUCAUCAAGGAAUGCAACGUUAUCCCAUUCUCAGCCAGAUUCUCCCUCCCGCCCUGCUCCCGAUCGAUGAGAACCACAGCGUCAACCACCUUCAGCCCCGCGGCACGCAGCGGGGCAGCGGUUUCAAGGACGGAGGUGCCGCUGGUGACGAGGUCUUCAAUGAUGAGGCAGGUCUGGUCAGGGUUAAAGGAGCCCUCGAUGGCCUUGGAGGUUCCGUAGUCUUUGAUCUCCUUGCGGCGCAUGACCAUAGGGACGGCGGUGGUCACAGAGACAGUGGUGGCGAUGGGGAGGGCGGUGUAGGGAACGCCGCAAAUGACAUCAUAGUGGGUGGUGGAAGGGAUGGUGGAGACAAGGGUUUGGGAGAUCUCACGGAGGAGAGUGGGGUAGGAGACGAUGAGGCGGAGGUCAAUGUAUAUUGGGGAGGUGAUGCCAGACUUGAGCUUGAAGGUGCCGAACUUGACGGCAGAAAUUUCAUGGAGCUUCAGGAUGAGAGACUCCAUUGAUGAUGAUGCUGCCGAGCUUGUCAUCCCUUCACCCUCUUCAAUCGCCUGUGAGGAGAAGAAAGACUCAUGUUUGGUGUAGCCUUUAAAGCACCGAGGGCAUCCAAAUUUUGUGAAUAUUUUAUAUAUCUAUCAAAAAUUAAAUUAUUAUUUUAUCUGAAAAAAAAAUUAUUCCAAAUUUUUUAAAAUAAAUAUUUAAAUUAUUUUAUUUUUUAUCAAGAAAUGUUAUAAAAUAUAAAAAUAUUUUCUGUUCUUCAUAUUUAACUUUGGUUUGUCUCUUUUUAGUUAAUUAAUUUUUUUAGCUAAAUUGUUAAAAAUUAAAUAUUUGUUCAAAUCUUCUCCAUAGAAGAUAAGAAAUUUAUUUAUUUAUAUUAAUCAAUUUAAUUCACAUCAUCAUUAAUAUUUUAAUAAUUAAAUAUUAUAUAAUUUAAUCAUUUUAUUUCUAUAAGUAAAGUUAUUGAUUGAAGGUUUAGAUAAGUUCAUAACUUGGACAUGUUGAUGGAAUUGACGAAUAACCUGAGUCCAACUCGAAUUAUGAAACAAUAAAUUCAAACUCAACUCAACCUUUACUUGAGAUAUUCAAUGUAAGCCCAAUGCAAUCUUAUUAUAUAAAAUUUGGGUUGAAUUCAGAUUGAUUAAGGUAGACUCAGGUUGGAUUAAUCGGGUUGUAUGAUUCAAAAUUUAUUUAUAGUGGAUUUAAUUUAAUUUAAUUUUUUUUGUAUAUAUUCAUAUCAAAAUUUAGAUAUUAAAUAAAACAAAAUUUCAAGAUAAUAAUAAAAAAAAAGUAAAAAUAAAUUAACUUAUAUAUCUUUCUAGAAAAUUGAAAAAGCAUAUAAAUAUAAUUAUAACUUGAUGCCUAUUUUUUAAAAUUUUAAAAGAAAAUGAAUAUUAUUAUAUAAAAAUAAUAGAUAUUAUAAAUAUUAUAAAAAUAUUAAAUUGGAUUAGGUUUGAAUCUUGACUAGAGCCCAAACUAAAUUAAGAUUAGAUUGAAAAAUUUUAACCCAAGUUCAACCCCAAUAUUAAAAAUAUUUGUUUAAACCUGUUAAAAUAUUGGGUUAAGUUAGAUCAUCUCACCCAAAUUCUACCCUUAGGUGAAUGUAUCACAUCAAUUUAAUUUAAUCACUUUAAGCUUGUAUUAAAGUUUAGUACUUUGAGAAGUAUUUUAAAUAAUAUCUAUUAAAUAUUAUUUAAAAAUCACUUUUAAGUAAUUUUCAAGAUUUUUUUAAAGUAUUCAAGUCUUUCCAAACCAUAUUCUACUAUAGAGUGUGGGUUCAAAGUGACUUUUAUGGCUAUCAAAAUAUCCAAUGAAAAUCAUGUUUUAAAUAAAAACAAAUUUAUUAGAAAUUAUAUUUUGAAAUUUCGAAUUUAACAUAGUGGAUUAAUUGCUUUGUUUGGAAAUUGUAUUUUAAAAUUAGAACUUUAAUAUAAAAAUAAUGUUUUAAAAACAAUAUUUGAAAAUUUUGAUUUUUAAUUUGAAUUUUUUUUAAUUAUGAUUUAAAAUUAAUUAAAAAAAAGAUUUUUAAUUAAAAUCUUGUAUGGUGAAGGGGAAUUUGAAGCAACAUUCUUCACGAGUAUAAAAAAGUGUCUUUGAGAUAAUGAUAAGAUAAUAUUGCAAUUGAGUGAUGAUGACAGCCACUUGCUAGUGAAAGCAAAAGUCGCCCCCAACUUUCCUUUCUUUUACUUUUAGGGUAUUCGCUAACAAAGUCAUUGUUAUCUGCUAUCCACUUUCAAGGGUAAGGCUUUCUAGAGGCCACUUCCAUGGAGGAUUGCAUUUUCUUUUGAGUUUUACUCAUAUUUACUUAGUCAACAUUUCAUACAUUUUUCUUUAAAUAUUCUAUAUAAAAUGGAAAACUCUAUAAAUUUUAGUUUAAAAUUUAUUAUUUUUUAAAAAUAGUUUAAAACAAAUUAAAGUAUUAAAAAAAUGUAUUACCUAAAUCUUAAAAAAAAUUAAAUAUAAUUUUUAAAGUCAUAAGAUGAGUUACAAUAAGAGUUAUUAUAUAUUAUAUAGAAUUUAUUAUUAUUUUUAUUUUAAAAAUAGAAAAUAAGAAAUAUAUCGGGUUUUUAUUAUAUUUGUGAGGAUAAGUGUGUUUAUUUAAUUUUUCAAAAAGAGAAAAACGAAAACUGAAGUUCAAGGAAAUGUCAUUAGGAAAAUUGUGUUUCAUUCACUUAGAAAAAAAGAUUAAAAUUUUUAUAAAAAUAAUUCAAAUUUUAUGUAGUCAUCAGUAAAAUGUAAUAUUUAAGAUGAUCAAAUAUAGUAGCUAUUUCUUUAAAAUAUUAUGUCUGUAAUAACUUUGAUAGAAAAACGGACAAAAUCUUAAUUAUUUUUACACACAUAUGAAUUUUGAAUUUUAUAAACUUAAUUUCUUAAUAAUGAUUUUUCUAAAAUAAGUGUGACUUUGAUGAUGGCUUUUGACCAUGUAGUUGACACUAUGUGCAAAGCAAAUAAUACAAAGAUGUAGGCAAUGUUGAGACAGAGUUCCUCCUUUCUCCUUAAGAACACCUGUGUCUUAGGAUUUCAACCAAUGGGUGUUGCAUGUCACCCUUCCCUUCAGCAAAAAGAAGCAGAGCUUAGGAAGGGCAAACCAGUAUGUGAAUGGGUUCUCGAUGUGAUUAGGAAAUUUUGAAUUUCAUCGUCUUUCCUUUCUUCCUACAUGUGGUGAAGAAACUUACACAUUCGCUAUAUUUAUGAGAAGACAUCGUAAUGGUCAAUUCUUACAUAGAAUUUGGGCUUCUUAAGCUGUGGUCUGGGCUGUACAUAGAAUUUUCCCACAAGGUCAUGUGGUUGAAUGGCUUUCUGCUUCUGUUUCUUUUCUUCAACCCACAAAAUUAGUGCAUUUCAAUCUCCAGGUAUUGUACUUCAAUUGAUGGAUAUGCUCCCCAUCUAAUUCAAUGCAGGGGAUGUGGGCAAUAUUGGUCCAAUGUUCUCUUUUGUCCUUUAAGCAUCUUUCUUUUGGCAUAGGAUGAUCAUUGCUUUCCAGUCUUUCAAGUGUUGCCGGCAGCAGCCCUAAGGAUCGAAGGCUGGGGCAGUAUGAGAUAUUUAGAACGAGGUUUUGGAGAGCCAGGGAGGCUCGGGAUUCCAUUCCACUGAUUGUAAUUUACAUAUUUUAUGUUACAAUACCACACUGCACACACUGGUUAGUUCAUAAGAAAAUAAAAGAAAACUGGAAAAAAAAAAACAGAGAAUUAAGGAAGAAGAUUAGACCGAGUCUUGUGGAAAACACAAUCUCCUUAAAACAGAUUCGCCUUCUCCACAGGUGCUUUGAGAAUCGCAAGGCGUCUGUCUCCCAAGAUAAAACGAUCUUCGAAUGGCAGCAACAGCACUCUGCAGCCACUCCGGCGAACUGGAAAUUGUUCAACUCUAUCACGGACACGGAAUGAAGGAACUCUUAAACACUCUGACAAUACUCCAAAGUUUUUCUCUUUCUGUACUUAUGAAAGAAAGUCUACCACUAUUUAUAGACUUCAAGGAGGGAAGAAUACAGACAGGUUCAGAAAGCCAAACUGAAUUUGGCUUCUUGAGACUUUUAAAAAUUUUGGAAAAAAUGAUGAAUUUAUUUAAUUCAAGGGAUUUACUUAAUUUCAUUCAUCCCCUUUUUCCAACAUUUUAAUUACAAAAUUUGUUUGAAGUACAAUAUUGUACAAAGUAAAUGUGAAAAAAAAAGCCUUAAAAAACAUAUUAAGUGAUUUCUACCAAAAGAAAAAGAAAAAAUAUUAAAAAAAGAAAGAAGAGGUUUUCAUGCUUUAUUUUAUUAUAUAACAUAUGAAAGAAAUCAAAUAAAAUUAAAAUUAGUUAAGAAUUUAUAUAUUUUUAAAUUAUUUAAUCUUUAUAUAUGAAAAUUAAAACAAGUUAAAUGAGUUGAAGUAGCGUUUUUAUUUUUAUUUUAUUUUAUUUUAAAUGAGUGGAAGUCAAAUAGAGCCUAAAAGUUUAAGAAUACCAAGAGCUAAUAUGAGAGGUGGAAUUGACUAAUUCAAAAUUAUUUUGGCUUGAUUGAUUUGUUUAUUUGGGGAAGUUUCUUCCUCUAUAGAAUUCGCCUAUAAACUUUUUCAGAUUUCUACGAGUUCAUGGCAAUUCAAGCACAUUCAUACCAUUCCCUUCAUUUUGCAAAUAAUCAAAAUCACUUCUUCAUUCCACCAUUAACUCUUCAAUGUUCUCCUUUCUCUUGAAAUUAAUAUCCAUAAUACCUCUAAUAUUUUCUAUAACCUUGAAAGAGCAGAUAUCCUCAAAGCAACUAUGAGCUUUUUUAGAUUUCUAUGAGGUCGUAGUAACUCAAGCUCAUUCAUAUCAGUCCCUUCAUUUUGCAAAUCUUCAAAAUCACUUUGUCAUUCCAUCAUUAACUCUUCAAUGUUCUCCUUUCUCUUUAAAUUAGCAUCCAUCAAUCAGAUAUCGUCUACUUUAUUAAAAUAUUUAGGCUCCAUUUCCUGCAUGACGUUCCAAGGAGCCUAGGGAUUCCAUCAUCCAGAUUCCAAGAGAGGUGAGAGAUGUAAGAAGAAGACACUCAUCAUUUGAAAGGAAACCAUUUAUGAGAGAACAUCUCAAAUACGCAAUGACGAAAUAAGCUUGGGACUUAUGUGUUAACACAAAAAGUAUUUUAUUUCAUUUUUUAUACAUUAUUUUCUCUCACUAGCAUAAGUAACUUAAGCAACACUAAAAAGAUAGCUAGAUUUUGGGUUAAGCUUCCAAUUGUGUUGAUUGCGGGAGUUGAAGUUCUGGUUGCACCUAGACAUGUACGUUUAUGGUUUCAUUUUAAGUUGUUUCAUCACCCCCUCAUCCUCUAAGACAGAAAACAUUUGUGAAAGUAAUGAAAUUAAAGGUACACCAAGAUUUACGUGGAAAACCCUCCAAUGAUGAGGGAAAAACCACGGGCCGAUAUAGAAAUAAUCCACUAUGGUAAAAAGGAAAUUACAAUAUUCUCACAAAUUUCUUUUUAAAAAGAAAGGAAAAAAAGCUUGAGGUAUUACAACUUGUAAGGAAAUAAAAAUGUUCAAAUCACCAUACUAGAAAACCAAAUCCUGCAAAAACAUCUGCUGCUUAUGUCUAAGGAGAAAACAAACUUCACAUUUCUUACAUUCUACACUAAGCACCGAAACCAAAGACGGUUGAUUUUGCUUGAGCCACUACAAUUGUAAAAGCACAACAUUGACGUCCUUAAGUUCAGUUCUUCUUGGAGAGCCAUAAGCGUCAAAAUUCCUUUCAUUUUUAUGCCAUCAACUAGCAAAAACGUCAUUGUAUGGCAAAUCCAUCAAGCUUCCACCACCUACCACCUUAUAUUCAGGAAGCACCAAAAAAAAGGAAAAAAAGGUUAGCCCAACUGAAUAGAAUUUGUCUAACCCAAGCAUUGCAAAUGUGAUAAUUGCCCCAAAUGUGAAAUACCCCUCCACAGUCACAUAUACACAAACAAUGAACUAUAAAAGUGCUCAUUGAAAUUCUAAUUAAGAAGCACUUGAGCUGGUGGUAGAAAUACAAUGGCAUGAAAAUUAUGACUUACACAACAAAGAAACCUAUAAAUUCUACUCAACAAACAGAAAGGAAAACCAUCAACUAUGAUCGAGUCAAUAACAUACUGUCAUACUUUUGUUAGGAAAUUAGUUUGCCACUGCAUUAUUUUUCUCCCUCCUACAUGUAGAAAAGAAGUUUCUAUUAAUUAUAGAAGUGAAACCCCAUAUUUAGACCAAGAAAAAACAGACUUAAGCAUCUGUGGUUAGUCAAGCAUACCUAGCUGAAGGAAAGAAUGAUCUAUCUCUCAACUUCUAGAGUAGGAAUAACACAAUUCAAUAUAAAUUCAUAUUUCCAAUGAGGUCAUGUUGCUGAAUGUUGGAGAUGUAGGCAAUGCUGAUCCAAACUUUCUCCUUUCUUCUUUAAGCAAUUUUGUCUCACAACAAGAGAAUUCUGGAUUUCAAGCACUAGCUGUUGCAUUCAGCUCUUCCUUCAGCAAAAAUGACCAAAGCUUAGCACAGCUUGAGAUCAAUAGCACUUGAAGAAACUUUCAGCAAAAAUUAAGCUUACCUGAAGUUAGAGGAACAAGUAGAAUGAAUUUUUUAUCCGUAAAGGCUUGGUGCACCAGUGCCACUCAUAGAGAGGCGUCUCAAGCUUCCCACAAUUGAACCCAAACUAAACAAUGGGGCCAAACCCCCUUCCAGAAAUUAAAGAACACCUGAACAAUCAAGGAUCAACCUUGAUACUGGAUGUAAAAAUGGAAAAGAAAAAAUUAAUGAACAAAAGUAAAUUAUUUAAAAAUAAAUAAAAAAGAAAAAUGGAAAAAUGUCAAGUUGUGAUGAGUUUUGAAAUGCACUGUCUUUCUACAGGUGCAGAAAAAUUAGGGAGUUAAGAUUAUUAUUCUGAUGUUAAUGGAAUUAUGGGAGUAGCUUAAUAAUGGGCUGGUCUCUACUUCCAUUUUUGUGAUUGAAAAAUAAAAUCUAAUUUGAAAUUGAUUCAUGUGUUAAAAACCUAGCUAUUUCCUUUUACAUAGGAUCAGGGAUGUGAAAAUCUUAGGCCAAUCAUAUUUACAUGUUAAUUUAAAUAUUUGAGAAAUUAAGAAGCCAAUACCAUUCCUAUGGACUAAAACCAGCUUCAUCAAAUUGUUGGUAUAGAAAUAAGCAAAUGUGUUUGAAAGAUUGAAUGAAAAAACCAGGUCAAUUGGAACUAAACUAAGCAAGUGCAACUAGAAAUCUUCUGAAGAUCAAACUUAAGCCACAAUAAAAUUGUUGCAACCGAAUGAAUAAUUGAGAACAACGUACUAACAUGUGAAUUUCAUCUGUAUGAGAUCUUUUGGCGGAAGGGUGGCAUGCAAAAGGAAAUAUGAUUUAAUUAUGUAGAAAGAGAAAUACACUAGAAACAUUUUAGAGAACAAGGAAAUAAGAUAGAUGAGAAAAGAAGAUUCUCACAAUUUUAAAAUUUAGAUGGGAAAAUUUGAAUUGCUGAACAUACCUUGUUGAAAUUAAGGAAGGAAGAGUGAUCUAAGAUUCAAUCCAGUAAAGACAUCUCCUGGUUACAAAAUUGCAUUAAGAUAGAAAAAUGUAAAAUAAACAAAAACUCAAAAGUAAAAAUAAAAGAAUUUGGAACUAAGUUGCGAAUGGGCAUACUUCAAUUACCUAUACGUACGCUGCGGAUGUGGGCGACGUUAGACCAACAUUCUCCUCCAUCCUUUGAGAAUCUUUCUUUCAUGGUAGGACAACCAAAUAUGUCAAGUUUUGCAAGUGUUGCAGGCAGUAGCCCUAAGGACCGGAGGUUAGGGCAAUUUGAGAUAUCUAGGGAUCGAAGAGAGAUGAGUUUGUCGAGAUCCAAGGAUUCUAGGGAUUCUAGGGAUUCCAUUCCUUUGAUUGUAAGGGAGGUGAGAGAAAUGGGAAGAAGACACUCUUCAUCGGAGACGGAAACCAUAUUUGGAAAUAUGUUCCUAAUAGUCAAUUCAGAAAGAGAGGUGAGGGUGUCGAGGCCCCACUCAGAUAUGGGCGUUUUCAGAUUCUUACAGUUAUCGAUCUCAAGUGAUGUUAGGUUAGGGGCCAAACCCUCUUCCGGAAAGGACUCCAAUCCUGGGCAUUGGGAUAUGGUCAGGCUGCGCAGAGAUUUGAGGUUUCUCAUUUGAUGUGUUAGAGAUUUAAGAUUCUCACAUCCCUCAAUUUCAAGGAAUUCGAGGUUAGGGAUGGACAAGCCUCUUUCUGGAAAGCACUCCAGACCUCCACAAUCGUUUAUGUCGAGCUUCCGAAGGCUGUCAAGGCAUCCUUUUAGGCUUUUCAGAUUUGGAUACCCCUCAAGUCGUAAAUACUCUAGGGCUGUACUGUUGGGUGACAUUUUCUCUGACACUGACUCCAAGUUUGUGCAUCCAACAAUAAUAAGGCGCUUGAGAGUGGAGGGUAACUCCCCUGUUGGAAAGGAAUUGAGAGAGGAACAAUUCUCUAUCGUCAAUUCUUCAAGACAACAAGUGUUGCUGCUGGAGGUGGAAUUGUGGUGCAUCAGCCCCUCUGGUAGAGACUCAAGACUUUGACAAUCCCAAAUAUAAAGCUUCUUGAGUGUGGUGGGUAGCUCACCAUUUGGGAAGCAUUUGAGAAAUGGAGAACACUGAAUCGCCAAGACUUCAAGCGGACACGUGUUGUAGUUAUGAGGCAGCGAUUUUAGACCCCUACAAUAGAACAACUCAAGGCGUCUUAGCACUGGUGGGAAACCCGAAUCAGGAAAUGACUCUAGUUUGGGGCAACUCCGUAUCUCCAGCUCUUCAAGACGUGUGAGAGUUUGCAAUCCAUUCGACAGCUUCUCCAGAUUAGCACAAUCACGUAUUUCCAAUUUUUUAAGAUUGCAAGGCAGCCAUUGCUCCUCCCACAAACAUGUCAGCCCAUCACAAUCCUUUAUCACCAAUUCUUGCAAGGCUACCAAGGAUCUAGUAAAUCCGGUCCUCAAACAUGUCAAUCUUGAAAUCUGGAUGAGAUUUACAGUAACGAGGGAUGGAAGAUCAAAUUGAGCACCUCUCAACACUACCUCAUCACAUUCUGUGAAAUUUAAUUCACGGAGAGAUGCAAGUUUUGGAAGCCCACACAUCAAUCCCGGACAUUUUAACACUACAAGCUCUACUAGGGACUGCAGGCAUUUCGGCAAUUCCCCAAUCAGUUUUGGACAUUUCCUCAUAAAAAACUUUUCAAGAUGGGGAAAUGUUCCCACAUCUUCCUUGAUGAAAUUAGAAUGAGACCAAUUUUCCCAUUCUGGCAUAUCCUCAAACCUCAACACCUUCAAAGAUGCAAAAGGAUUCAUACUCUCUCCAUAAAAUUCAGCACCUAUGCUUUUAACUUGGCUCAUACCUUCGAUACACAAAACUUUGAGCACCGAUAGUCCACCCAGAUUUGGUAAUAACAUGCAUUUUUUGCAAUCUCUGAGAGUUAGUUCCACCAUUACUGAGAAUGAGGGAUCUCCUAACCAACUUGGAAAUUUGGAUCCACCAUAAAAUGCAAUUGUGAGCCUUCUUAAAUUUUCACGAGGCUGCAGGGACUCCAAGACACGUGAUUCACGUUUAUCGUUUCGUGCAUCCCAACAAUCAUCACUCCACUCCAUGGUCAACUCUUCAAUUUUUUUUUUAUCUUUUAAAUUAGCAGCUCUUGCCUCUCCAACAUCCACUACCUCUUGCAACCCAGAAAUAGAAAGCACUCCUUGGAGGUUCGAACAAUUCUUGAGUUCUUCAAUUCCAACCCCUCUACUUUUGCUCACAAUGAACCUAGUCAACACUUGCAAAUUUGUGAGGUUGCUUAAUUGGAAAGGCAUUUCUUCUAGUCGACUUGUACCCGUAAUAUCAAGGUGCCGAAGGUUUUUCAGGUUUCCAAUCCCUAUAGGCAAUUCGGUAAGUGCAUAACAACGACGUAAUAUCAACGUUUGUAAAUUAUAAAGAUGACCCACUGAAUUAGGUAGACUUCGUAUCCUAGAGUAGGAAAAAUUGAGAUAACGCAGAUGUAUUAACUCACCAAUCGAACUUGGUACUUCACCCAUGCCACAACCAACCAAAGAUAGUACCCGCAAGUAUCUCAUUGGCAUUAUUAGGUUAUGUAACACCUGGUUAGAUAUAUUUCCGAACAAAGUACGUGAAUAUUGAGGCACUGCUAUUAACGUGCGUAGAUUCUUCGCUUUGUCAAAGGCUUCCAAUUUUCCAACAACCUCAAAUUCUUGCCGAGUGAAACAUGAAUGACGAGCUCUUGUAGAAAUAGCAUGUUGGUCAUUGUUUCCAAAUUGAAACAUACGUCUCCAGCAACCAAUUGAGCAAGAUCAUGAAUAAGAUCAUGCAUCACAAAUUGUGAUGAAUGAUGAUUUGAUUGUUGGAAAAAAGACCUUGCUAAUAAUUCAUGAAAGUACGCGGUGCCUAUCUCCUCCAUCUGCUUCUUUCUGUUCACCUGGUGAAGGAAUCCCUCUCCCAUCCACAGCAAGACUAAUUCAUCCACAUUGAAUUCGGAGUCCUUUGGAAAUAUAGAGCAGUAAGCGAAGCAGCGCUUCAAAUGAGAAGAAAGAUGAUGAUAACUCAAUUUGAGAGCUGGAAGAAUACUGUUAUUCUCUUCUGGUAACUCCCAUAUCUUGCUUCCGAGUAUUUCCUCCCAUGCAUCACGAUUUAGUUGUGUGCGCAACAUUCCUCCUAAGGCCUUUGCAGCCAAAGGUAGCCCCCUGCACUUUUUCACAAUUCGUUCGCCGACAGCUCUCAAGUGUGGAUGAUUAUCAAAGUUUCUGGUAUGUAUAAAUGCAUGCUGGGCAAACAAAGAUAAGCAAUCGUCAUUUGAUAACCCCUCGAGGGGAUAAUCUGAGCUGGCUCUGACGGCUGGUCCAACCCUUUGAUCACGAGUGGUGACAAUAAUCCUGCUGCCUUUUGCUCCAGUUCUCAUUGGCUUGAAUAAAAGGUUCCAUUUAUUACAAUCCCAACUCCAAACGUCGUCUAAAACAAGAAGAAACUUUUUUCCAGAGAGUUUAUCAUUCAGUUUGACUUGAAGCUGGUUGAGAUCGUUGACAUCGUUGACAUCGGACAUAUCAGUAGCAACAGACUGAAGAAUUGUCCUGGUUACCCCCACGACAUCAAACUCAUCAGAGACACAAACCCAAGCUCUUAGAUCAAAAUGACUCUUCACUUUAUAAUGGUUGUAGGCAAACUGAGCAAGAGUAGUUUUGCCCACGCCUGCCAUGCCAGUUAUGGCAAUGACACGGACUGAAUCGUCACUUGGCCCAUGAUAAUGGAGCAAGGAGUCGACUAUGGCUGCUUUCUCUGUUUCCCUUCCAUAAACAAUAGGUUCAUCCACCAAAGAAGUGGUGGGUAGUAUUUCUCUUGGUUUGGCGGACCUUUUCCCAGAAUUUUUUUCUGUUGAAAGGAGAUUAUUUUUCCGUGAAGAAAUAUGUUCCAACCUGGCAGUGAUAUUCUCUAUCUUGGACCUCAUCUCAUCAUUGAACUUAAUAGCACUUGGAGUGAAACUAGUACGACAAGAAGGGAUAAGACUCUUACUAGUGCUGGGUUGAGUUUCCGCCAUCAACUGCUGCCCCAAAGCUUGAGUGGCCAAGUCGUCCAGGAUGUCCUCCACAUCAUAAGCCAAGUCUCUGAGGUCGUCGAGCCAUUUCUUCACCGCUUGCUUUUCCAUCUGCUUCUCCUCCGCAUCCUCCAGCACGGCAUGAAUUUCCUUUAGGGUGUUCUCCCACUUGUUGAGCUCAGCACGAACUUGCACUGGGCGAGCAAAAUCGAGCAGGUCAGAGGACAACAACCUCUGAAACAGAGUUUCAAAGAAAGAAGACAGAAGAGCCUCUCCAACAAAAGCCAUGGAAGCAAGUACGAGAAAUCAAAGGCAGAGAAACGACUCAGAAUCAGAACAGCACAAGUAGAAAGCCAGACAAGGUUGGUUAUAGAGCAAUUAUAGAUUAAAAUGUCAUUCCUGUUUGACCACACCCAUAUUCAUUACUUUGUACGGUUGAGAUCCUCCAAUCAAAUUGUGAUUAUAAUUACAUACAUGAUGUUAGCACACUGUAUUAAGAUACCCUUUUAUUAAUCUAAUGAUUCGUAACAACUCCUGCAAUUGCUCUUUUAUUAAUACUCAUCACAUUAAUUAAAAAUUCAUCUAAAAUGUAAGGAAUCUCCAACAAAUUUCUUGAUGUGUGUGUGCAUAUUUUUAUAUUACAAGUGGGUUUCCUACUCUAUAUUUUAUUAUUAAUCUUAACAGUUGCCCUUUGUCCCCAUCUAAUUUGGAUCAAUAAUAUUGUCGGCCAACAUCAGUUUGUAAACACAAAAAACAUACGAAUUAAUCUUAGCCGCUGCCCUUUGUGUAGGGAAUUAAACCAAAUUCCCAACCCGUGAGAAACAAAAAUUAGAGAAAACACACGCCAAAGAAAAACAAUCACACGCACAAGACAGUAUUUACGUGGUUCGGCAAUUUGCCUACGUCCACGGAGUUGCAGGGAUAUCACUAUUAUCAGGGAAGAAUACAGAGUACGACCUAGCGGCUACAAUAUUCUCUAUAUAUAUAUAUAGCACGGCAACCCUACCAUACUAAAAAACCCUAAUUACAAAAGGUGGUUCCACAAUGGGUUAAACGGGCCCAACAGGCCUCAAUAAAUCUCCCAUUAAAAAGUCAUGCAAUAUUAUUCGGGUCGGGUCGUCAAAUCUGAUCAAACAAAACUAGGCUCCACAAAGCCCAACAAAUCUCCCACUUGGAGACUAGUCCAAUCACCAACAUCAAACCGCUAUCCUCCAAGAAACAAUCCCUCAUCCCUACAACUCAUCCUCCUGUCCUCAAGCUAGAAGACCAAUUGAAGCUGUACACAGCUUCAACUUCUCAAUAGUGACACCCUUAGUCAACAUGUCUGCCGGGUUCUUAGAUCCACAAAUCUUCUCAAGUAUUACUAGUUUAUCUUCAACAAGAUAACGGAUAAAGUGGUAUUUUGUUUGUAUAUGCUUCGACUUUGAAUGAAAAGCCGAAUUUUUGGCAAGAAAAAUUGCACUCUGGCUGUCACUGUGUAGAAUGCCCAUCUCCUGCUUCUUACCCAAUUCAUCUAAGAAACCAUGUAGCCAAAUCAUCUCCUUUCCAGCUUCAGUUGCUGCAACAUACUCAGCUUCUGUAGUAGACAGAGUAACAAUCUUCUGUAGAUUUGAAGUCCAUGAUAUAACUGUACCACCUAGAGUAAAAACAAACCCAGUAGUACUCUUUCUACUAUCAAUAUCACCAGCAAAAUCAGCAUCUACAUAACCCUGCAGUUUCAAACUUGCACCUGUGAAGCAAAGACAUGUAUCUAAUGAACCCUUCAGAUAUCUUAAAAUCCACUUGACUGCCUCCCAAUGCUGCUUUCCAGGCCUACUCAUGAAUCUGCUCACAACUCCCACUGCAUGUGCAAUGUCUGGCCUUGUACACACCAUAGCAUACAUCAAGCUGCCAAUAGCUGAGGCAUAGGGCACCUUGCUCAUAUGGUCCCUUUCUUCUUCUGUCUUCGGUGACUGUUCUUUGCUUAGUUUGAAAUGACUACCCAAGGGUGUGCUCACUGGUUUAGCUUCAUUCAUGUUGAACCUGCUGAGAACUUUCUUCACAUACUCUGACUGUGAAAGUUUCAAUGUACCAUUAGCCUUGUCUCUAAUGAUUCUCAUACCAAGGAUUUGCUUUGCAGCUCCCAAAUCCUUCAUUGCAAACUGUUUGGACAAUUGCUUCUUCAGAUUAUUAAUCUUCUCAAUGUCAGACCCUGCAAUAAGCAUAUCAUCCACAUACAACAGUAAUAUGAUGUAAGAAUUGUCAAAGGACUUAACAUAGCAACAAUGAUCAGCUUCACAUCUCUUGAACCCAAUUCUAUGCAUAAAAUUGUCAAACUUCUUGUACCACUGUCUAGGAGCUUGUUUAAGGCCAUACAAGCUCUUUCUCAGUUUGCAGACUAGAUUCUCUUGUCCCUGAACAAUGAACCCUUCUGGCUGAAUCAUGUAAAGGUCUUCCUCCAAGUCACCAUGAAGGAAUGCUGUCUUCACAUCUAACUGCUCAAGAUGUAAGUUUUCUACAGCCACCAUUCCAAGUACAAGUCUAAUUGUUGACAUCUUCACAACUGGAGAAAAUAUCUCUGUGUAGUCAAUGCCCUCCUUCUGUUGGAACCCUUUAACCACUAAUCUGGCCUUGUAACGUUUGCUACCAUCAUGCUCAUUCUUUAUUCUGUAUACCCACUUGUUGUGCAAAGCCUUCUUUCCUACUGGCAAUUCAGUCAGUUCCCAUGUCUGAUUCCCCAGCAGGGAAUCCAUCUCAUCCUUCAUGGCUAACUCCCACUUGCUUGAAUUCUCAUCUUGCAAGGCUUCAUUAUAACACUCUGGCUCACCACCAUCAGUCAACAGGAGAUAAUUUAAAACAGGUGAAUAACGUUGUGGAGGUCUAAUGUUCCUGGAAGAUCUGCGAACUUCAACUACAGGUGUCCUCAAAUCUACCUUUGAAUUUACAUUCUCCUUAUCUUCUUCACCCCCUUUUUGGACAGUACUUUCAGUCAAUUCAUCUAAGUUGACAAACUCAGAUUUCUUUUGAUCUAUCUCUGUAACAUUUGACGUUACAGUUAACCUGUCCUUGUACAUAACCUGUUCAUUAAAUAUCACAUUUCUACUUCUGAUAAUUUUCCUGUUUUGUUCAUCCCAAAACCUAUAGCCAAAUUUCUCAUCACCAUAGCCAAUGAAAAAACAUAUUUUUGACUUUGCAUCAAGUUUACUACGAGCAUCAGAAUCAAUAUGAACAUAAGAAACACAACCAAAAACUUUUAAAUGUGAAAACUUCACCUCUUUACCGCUCCAAACCUCCUCAGGAAGUCUGAACUCCAUGGGAACUGAUGGUCCUCGGUUUAUCAGGUAAGCAGCAGUGCUAACAGCAUCAGCCCAAAAAGUUUUUGGUAGUCCAGCAUGCAACCUCAUACUUCUAGCACGCUCAUUGAGAGUUCUGUUCAUGCGCUCAGCCACACCAUUCUGCUGUGGUGUCCCAGGAAUGGUCUUCUCCAUCCUAAUUCCCUGUGCAGCACAAUACUCACUGAAUCCUCCAUCUAUGUACUCUCCUCCAUUAUCUGACCUCAAACAUUUUACUUUCAAACCUGUUUCUGUCUCAACCAUGGCCUUCCACUUCUUAAAAGUUACAAAUACAUCAGAUUUAUUUUUCAGAAAAUAAACCCAUACCUUUCUACUUGAGUCAUCAAUAAAGGUGAUGUAGUACCUUGAACCUCCUAGGGAUGCAACCGGAGAAGACCCCCACAAAUCGGUGUGUACUAGUUCCAAUUUUUCAGCCUUCGGUGUCCUGCCAGUUUUCAAGAAGCUCACCUUUUUUUGUUUUCCUAAGAUGCAACUUUCACACAUGUCAAAAUCAAUGGACUUCAAUUCUGGUAGUUUUCCUUUUGACAGCAACAUCUUCAUCCUUUUCUCNNNNNNNNNNNNNNNNNNNNNNNNNNNNNNNNNNNNNNNNNNNNNNNNNNNNNNNNNNNNNNNNNNNNNNNNNNNNNNNNNNNNNNNNNNNNNNNNNNNNNNNNNNNNNNNNNNNNNNNNNNNNNNNNNNNNNNNNNNNNNNNNNNNNNNNNNNNNNNNNNNNNNNNNNNNNNNNNNNNNNNNNNNNNNNNNNNNNNNNNNNNNNNNNNNNNNNNNNNNNNNNNNNNNNNNNNNNNNNNNNNNNNNNNNNNNNNNNNNNNNNNNNNNNNNNNNNNNNNNNNNNNNNNNNNNNNNNNNNNNNNNNNNNNNNNNNNNNNNNNNNNNNNNNNNNNNNNNNNNNNNNNNNNNNNNNNNNNNNNNNNNNNNNNNNNNNNNNNNNNNNNNNNNNNNNNNNNNNNNNNNNNNNNNNNNNNNNNNNNNNNNNNNNGCCCAUUCCUCAGCCUUCAUACUCUCAGGUUUUGUCCCCAAAAGAGGCAGAUGCAAUUUCCUCCCAUAGAGAUAAUCUUCAAUCUGCAUCCUCUAAUACGCAAAGUCUGUGCCAUCAAACUUUUCUAUUCCAGACGCCUUUCCUGCUUCCUCUGCCAUUGCUCCCACUCAAACCUAACCCUAGGCUCUGAUACCAGUUGUAGGGAAUUAAACCAAAUUCCCAACCCGUGAGAAACAAAAAUUAGAGAAAACACACGCCAAAGAAAAACAAUCACACGCACAAGACAGUAUUUACGUGGUUCGGCAAUUUGCCUACGUCCACGGAGUUGCAGGGAUAUCACUAUUAUCAGGGAAGAAUACAGAGUACGACCUAGCGGCUACAAUAUUCUCUAUAUAUAUAUAUAGCACGGCAACCCUACCAUACUAAAAAACCCUAAUUACAAAAGGUGGUUCCACAAUGGGUUAAACGGGCCCAACAGGCCUCAAUAAAUCUCCCAUUAAAAAGUCAUGCAAUAUUAUUCGGGUCGGGUCGUCAAAUCUGAUCAAACAAAACUAGGCUCCACAAAGCCCAACACUUUGUCCCCAUCUAAUUUGGAUCAAGAAUAUUGUCGGCCAAUAUCAGUUUUUAAACACCAAAAAAAUAGGAAUUAAUCUUAGCAGCUGCCCUUUGUCCCCAUCUAAUUUGGAUCAAGAAUAUUGUCGGCCAACAUCAGUUUUUAAACACCAAAAAAAUAGGAAUUAAUCUUAGCAGCUGCCCUUUGUCCCCAUCUAAUUUGGAUCAAGAAUAUUGUCGGCCAACAUCAGUUUGUAAACACAAAAAACAUACGAAUUAAUCUUAGCAGCUGCCCUUUGUCCCCAUCUAAUUUGGAUCAAUAAUAUUGUCGGCCAACAUCAGUUUUUAAACACCAAAAACAUACGAAUUAACUUAGGCCUGUUUUAUAACUAUUUUCAAAAAUAUUUUUUUCAUUUUUUAAAAAACCAAAACAAAAAAACACAAACUAUCUGUUUUAUAUUCUUAAAAAUAGAAAAACGGAUUGUUUUCUAUUGUUUUUAUUUGCUUUUUGAGGAUUCUUUUUAAAAAAUAAUUCUACAAAUAUGCGUAAUAAUUAAAAAUAAAACAUUAAAUAUAAAAAUUAUUUUUAAAAUAUACUUAAAAAUAUUAAAAAUAUGAUGAAAAUAUUUUAUAUUUUUAAACAUAUUUUUAUUUUAUAAAACAUAAAAAACAAUUUUUAAAAACUAUUCUAAAAAACGAUUUUCUACGUUAUCAAAUAAAAUCUUAAUGCCUCUUUCCAACUUAGAAAAGAUUUGAAACUCAUUUUAAUUUUAAAUUUAUUAAUUUUUACUUAAUUAAACUAACUUGUUAACUCCUAGGAAAAACAAAUUUUAAUUUUGAUUUUGAAUCUCACGUUGAUUUUGAUUAGUUUUAUGGGGUUCACCAAUUUGUGGGAACGUGAGGCAUUUAAUAAAAUACUCUCCAACUUGUUGGUAUCAGCAUGGAGUUGUUGGGAAUGGUGAGGGCCACACAGGGUGUAAAAGAAGAAUUUGCGUGUAAAAGAUGAAUUUGCAUUAUUGGUAGUGGAUGCACAUGCGGGGUUUAAAUAAGAGAAAAGAAACCAAAAUGGUUUUUGUAAUACAAAUUGUACAAAUAUCCAUGUUAUUAUUUAAUAACACUGCUUGAAAUUAGUCAGACGUCAUCAAACAUGUAGGCUAUGUUUGAGAGAAAAACAUGAGGGGGAAAAAUACGUAGAAAAAUAAAAAAUAGAUUAAAAGAUAAUAAAUUAUUUUUAUAUGUUUUUUUAAACUAGUUUAACUUAUUUUUGUUAAUUGGUGUGACAUAUGUAAUGAAAAAAAAUUAUGAGAUUUUUCAGGAUUAUGAUGUUUUAUGCAUAUGCCGUAGCCACUCUCUCAUCUUGUUCCAAUUUUCAACAUAGUGGAUUUCUUUCUCUAGUCAUAGUUUUUCCCAUCUAAGGUUUUCUACAUAAAUUUGUGUGUUUUUAUUCUAUUUUUUUUUUCAUAUUGUCUAUUUUGGUUUUUUUUGUGGUAGAAUUAAUAUUAGAUAAUUUCAAAUUACAUAAAUUUCUAACCAAUUUUAAUUAUAUACAUAUAUAUAUUCAUAUUUUUCGUAGUGAAACUAAACAUAAAAAAAUUAUUUUUUUAAAUAUUUUUUUUUCUUAAUACUUUUUGAGAACCAAACAUAAUCGUAAUAUUAUUUAAGUGCUUUUUUAAUACACUCAUUAUAUAUUGAUUUGUGAAAAUUGAAUUUCACACCUCAUCAAUCACUCCCAUUUUUCUUAAAUUUAUUACAUAAAAUAAAAAAAACCCAAAAUAUAUAAUCUAUCCCAUUUAGGUAGUAAAAUGUUCCCAUUGAUGCUUGGACACUUGAAAAUGGUUUGCUACACCUUUUUUAAAUUAAUCAUUAUAAGUGAUUUUGUUUACGUAUUUUAAUUACAAAACUUGUUUGAACUACAAUAUUGUACAAAGUAAAUGUGGAAAAAAAAGCCUUAAAAAAUAUAUUUAGUGACUUCACCAAAAGAAAAAGAAAAAAAUGUUUUUAAAAAAAAGAUGUUUUCAUGUUUUGUUUUAUUAUAUAAAAUAUAAAAGAAAAUCAAACAAAAUUAAAAUUAGUCAAAAAUUCAUAUAUUUUUAAAUUAUUUGAUAUUUAUAUAUGAGAGUUAAAACAAGUUAAAUGAAUUGAAGUAUGUUUUUUAUUUUUCUUUUCUUAUAGUUUUCCUUUCUAUUUUUUCUUCCAUUCUUCUUCAAAUUUUCUGAAGCCAAACAUAACCUAAAAGUUUGUAUAACACCAGGAGCUAACAUAAGAGGUGGAAUUGACCAAUUCAAAAUUAUUUUGGCAUGAUUAAUAGAACUCUUGUCCAUUUGGGGAAGUUUCUUCCUCUAUAGAAUUCGCCUAUAAACUUUGUCAGAUUUCUACGAGCUCAUAGCAAUUCAAGCACAUUCAUAUCAUUCCCUUCAUUUUGCAAAUAAUCAAAAUCACUUUUUCAUUCCACCAUUAACUCUUCAAUGUUCUCCUUUCUCUUUAAAUUAAUAUCCAUCGUAUCUCUAAUAUUUUCUAUAACUUCGAAAAAAAUAGGUAUCCUCAAAGCAACUAUGAGCUUUUUCAGAUUUCUACCUAUGAGGUCGUAGUAACUCAAGCACAUUCAUAUCGCUCCCUUCAUUUUGCGAAUCAUCAAAAUCACUUUGUCAAUUCAUCAUUAACUCUUCAAUGUUCUCCUUUCUCUUUAAAUUAGUAUCCAUUAAUAAGAUCUCCUCCACAUUAUUAAAAUAUCUAGGCUCCAUUUCCUGCAUGAUACUCUAAGGAGGCUAGGGACUCCAUCAUCCGGAUUCCAAGAGAGGUGAGAGAUGUAAGAAGAAGACACUCAUCAUUUGAAAGGAAACCAUUUCUGAGAGUACUUCUCAAAUACACAAUGACAAAAUAAGCUUUGGACUUAUGUGUUAAUAAAAAAGUAUUUUAUUUCAUUUUUUUAUACAUCAUUUUCAAUAGAAAAUAAUUCUCAUUUUCAUAAUCAAACAGGCUCUAGACUUUCUAACUUUUUUUCUCACUAGCCUAAGUAACUUAAGCAACACUGAAAAGACAACUAUAUUUUGGGUUAAGCUUCCAAUUGUGUUGAUUUUUGGAGUUGAAGUUCUAGCUGCACCUAGACAUGUACGUUUAUGGUUUCAUUUUAAGUUGUGUCAUUAGCCCCUCAUCCUCUAAGACAAAAAAAGUUUAUGACACAAGAAAUGGACAUUUGUGAAAGUAAUGAAAUUAAAGGUCCACCAAGAUUUAUGUGGAAAACCCUCCGAUAAUGAGAGAAAAACCACGGGCCAGUCUAGAAAUAAUCCACUAUGGUAAAAAGGAUAUUACAAUAUUCUCACAAUUUCUUUUUAAAAAGAAAGGAAAAAAAAAAAAACUCAGGUAUUACAACUUUUAAAAAAAUAAAAAUGUUUGAGUCACUAUACUAGAGAACCAAAUCCUGCAAAAACAUCUGUUGCUAAUGUCUAAGGAGAAAACAAGCUUCACAUUUCUUACAUUCUACACUAAGCACCAAUAUGAGAGACGGUUGAUUUUGCUUGAGCCACUACAAAUGUAAAAGCACAACAUUGACAUCGUUAAGUUGAGUUCUUCUUGGAGAGCCAUAAGUGUGAAAAUUCCUUUCAUUUUUAUGCCAUCAACUAGCAGAAAAGUCAUUAUAUGGCAAAUCCAUCAAGCUUCCACCACCUACCACCUUAUAUUCAGGAAGCACCAAAAAAAAAAGGAAAAAAUGGUUAGCCCAACUUAAUAGAAUUUGUCUAACCCAAGCAUUGCAAAUGUGAUAAUUGCCCCUAAUGUGAAAUACCCCUCAAUACUUACAUAUAUACAAACAAUGAACCAUAAAAGUGCUCAUUGAAAUUCUAAUUAAGAAGCACUUGAGCUAGUGGUAGAAAUACAAUGGCAUGAAAAUUAUGACUUACACAACAAAGAAACCUAUGAAUUCUACUCAACCAACAAAAGGGAAAACCAUCAACUAUGAUUGAGUCAAUAACAUACCGUCAUACUUUUUUUAGGAACUUAGUCUGCCACUGCAUUAUUUUUCUCCCUCCUACAUGUAGAAAAGAAGUUUCUAUUAAUUAUGGAAGUGAAACCCCAUAUUUAGACCAAGAAAAAACAGACUUUAGCAUCUGUGGUUAGUCAAGCAUACUUGGCUGAAGGAAAGAAUGAUCUAUCUCUCAACUUCUAGAGUAGGAAUAACACAAUUCAAUAUAAAUUCAUAUUUCCAAUGAGGUCAUGUUGCUGAAUGUUGGAGAUGUAGGCAAUGCUGAUCCAAGCUUUCUCCUUUCUCCUUUAAGCAAUUUUGUCUCACAACAGGAGAAUUCUGGAUUUCAAGCACUAACUGUUGCAUUCAGCUCUUCCUUCAGCAAAAAGGACUAAAGCUUAGGACAACUUGAGAUCAAUAGCACUUGAAGAAACUUUCAGCAAAAAUUAAGGUUACCUGAAGUUAGAGGAACAAGUAGAAUGAAUUUUUUAUCUGUAAAAGCCUCGUGCACCAGUGCCACUCAUAGAGAGGCGUCUCAAGCUUCCCACAAUUGAACCCAAACUAAACAAUGGGGCCAAAACCCCUUCCAGAAAUUAAAGAACACCUGAACAAUCAAGGAUCAACCUUGAUACUGGAUGUAAAAAUGGAAAAGAAAAAAAUUAAUGAACAAGAGUAAAAUAUUUAAAAAUAAAUAAAAAAAGAAAAAUGGAAAAAUGUCGAGUUGUGAUAAGUUUUGAAAUGCAUUGUGUCUUUCUACAUGUGCAGAAAAAUUAGGGAGUUAAGAUUAUUAUUCUGAUGUUAAUGGAAUUAUGGGAGUAGCUUAAUAAUGGGCUGGUCUCUGCUUCCAUUUUUGUGAUUGAAAAAUAAAAUCCAAUUUGAAAUGGAUUCAUGUGUUAAAAACCUAACUAUUUCCCUCUACAUAGGGAUGUGAAAAUCUUAGGCCAAUCAUAUUUACAUGUUAAUUUAAAUAUUUGAGAAAUUAAGAAGCCAAUACCAUUCCUAUGGACUAAAACCAACUUCAUCAAAUUGUUGGAAUAGAAAUAAGCAAAUGUGUUUGAAAGAUUGAAUGAAAAAAUCAGGUCAGUUGGAACUAAACUAAGCAAGUGCAACUAGAAAUCUUCUUAAGAUCAAACUUAAGCCACAAUAAAAUUGUUGCAACUGAAUGAAUAAUUGAGAACAACAUACUAGCAUGUGAAUUUCAUCUGUAUGAGAUUUUUUGGCGUAAGGGUGGCAUGCAAAAGGAAAUAUGAUUUAAUUAUAUAGAAAGAAAAAUACGCUAGAAACAUUUUAGAGAACAAGGAAAUAAGAUAGAUGAGAAAAGAAAAUUCUCACAAUUUUAAAAUUUAGAUGAGAAAAUUUGAAUUGCUGAACAUACCUAGUUGAAAUUAAGGAAGGGAAAGUGAUCUAUGAUUCAAUCCAGCAUCCGAUAUCGACAGUUACCUCCUGGUUACAAAAUUGCAUUAAGAUAGAAAAAUGUAAAAUAAACAAAAACUCAAAAGUAAAAAUAAAAGAAUUUGGAACUAAGUUGCGAAUGGGCAUACUUCAACUACCUCUAGAUAUGCGGGGGAUGUGGGCGACGUUGGACCAAUAUUCUCCUCCCUCCUUUAAGUACCUUUCUUCUAUGGUAGGACAAUAGUUGAUGACAAGUUUUGUAAGUGUUGCAGGAAGCGGCCCUAAGGACCGGAGGUUAGGGCAAUAUGAGAUUCCUAGGGAUCGAAGAGAGAUGAGUUUGUGGAGAUCCAAGGAGGCUAGGGAUCCCAUUCGUCUGAUUCGUAGGCUGAUGAGAGAAAUGGGAAGAAGACACUCUUCAUCGGGGAAGGAAACCAUAUUUGGAAACAUGUUCCAAAUAGUCAAUUGAGAAAGAGAGGUGAGGGUGUUGAAGCCCCACUCAGAUAUGGGUGUUUUCAGAUUCAUACAGUCACCGAUCAAAAGUGAUUUUAGGUUAGAGGCCAAACCCUCUUCCGGAAAGGACUCCAAUCCUGGGCAUUCGGAUAUGGUCAGGCUGCGCAGAGAUUUGAGGUUUCUCAUCUGAUGUGUUAGAGAUUUAAGAUUCUCACAUCUGUCAAUUUGAAGGUAUUCGAGGUUAGGGAUGGACAAGCCUCUUUCUGGAAAGCACUCCAGACCUCCAUAAUCGUUUAUGCUUAGCUCCCGAAGGCUGUCAAGGAAUCCUUGUAGACUUUUCAGAUUUGGAUACUUCUCAAGUCGUAAAUGCACUAGUGCUGUACUGUUGGGUGACAUUUUCUCUGACACUGACUCCAAGUUUGUGCAUCCCGAAAUGGAAAGGUUCUUGAGAGUGGAAGGCAACUCCCCUGUUGGAAAGGAAUUGAGAAAGGAAAAAUUCUCUAUCCACAAAUAUUCAAGACAACAAGUGUUGCUGCUGGAGGUGGAAUUGUGGUGCAUCACCCCCUCUGGUAGUGACUCUAGACUUUGACAAUCCCCAAUAUGAAGCUUCUUGAGUGUGGUGGGUAGCUCACCAUUUGGGAAGCAUUUGAGAAAUGGAGAAUACCGAAUCGACAAGUCUUCAAGCGGACACGAGUUGUAGUUAUGAGGCAGCGAUUUUAGACCCCCACAAUAGAACAACUCAAGGCGUCUUAGCAUUGGUGGGAAACCCGAAUCAGGAAAUGACUCUAGUUUGGGGCAUCUCCAUAUCAUCAGCUCUUCAAGACGUGUGAGGGUUUGCAAUCCAUUCGACAGCUUUUCCAGAUUAGCACACCCUUCUAUUCUCAAUUUUUUAAGAUUGCAAGGCAGCCAUUGCUCCUCCCACAAACAUGUCAGCCCAUCACAAUUGCAUAUCUUCAAUUCUUGCAAGGCUACCAAGGAUCUAGUAAUUCCGGUCCUCAAACAUGUCAAUCUUGAAAUCUCGAUGAGAUUUACAGUAACGAGGGAUGGAAGAUCAAACUGAGCACCUCCCAAUACUGCCUCAUCACAUUCUUUUAAAUUUAAUUCACGGAGAGAGAGAUGCAAGUUUUGGAAGCCCACACAUCAAUCCCGGACAUUCUGACACUUCAAGCUCUACUAGGGACUGCAGGCAUUUCGGUAAUUCCCCAAUCAGUUUUGGACAUUCCCUUAUCAAAAACUUUUCAAGAUGGGGAAAUGUUCCCACAUCUUCCUUGAUGAAAUUAGAAUGAGACCAAUUUUCCCAUUCUGGCAUAUCCUCAAACCUCAACUCCUUCAAAGAUGCAAAAGGAUUCAUACUCUCUCCAUAAAAUUCAGCACCUAUGCUUUUAACUUGGCUCAUACCUUCAAUACACAAAACCUUGAGCACCGAUAGUCCACCCAGAUUUGGUAAUAACACGGAUUUUUUGCAAUUUUUGAGAGUUAGUUCCACCAUUACUGAGAAUGAGGGAUAUCCUAACCAACUUGGAAAUUUGGAUCCACCAUAAAAUGCAAUUGUGAGCCUUCUUAAAUUUUCACGAGGCUGCAGGGACUCCAAGACACGUAAUUCACGUUUAUCGUUUCGUGCAUCCCAACAACAAUAACGACUCCACUCCAUGGUCAACAAGACACGCAAUUUUUACUUAAGAAAACUAACUUGUUAAGUCUUAGGAAAAUCAAAUUUUAAUUUUGAUUUUGAACCUCACGUUGAUUUUGAUUAGUUUUAUGGGGCUCACCAAUUUGUGGGAAUGUGAGGCAUUUAAUAAAAUACUCUCCAACUUGUUGGUAUCAGCAUGGAGUUGUUGGGAGUGGUGAGGGCCCAGACAGGGUGUAAAAGAUGAAUUUGCGUGUAAAAGAUGAAUUUGCAUUGUUGUUAGUGGACGUAUAUGUGGUGUUUAAAAUAAGAGAAAAGAAACGAAAAUGGUUUUUGUAAUACAAAUUGUACACUAGAAUAUCCAUGUUAUUAUUUAAUAACAUUGCUUGAAAUUUUUCAUAAGUCAUCAUAUAGUGGAUUUCCUUCUCCUCUCUGCUCAUGAUUUUUUCUAUUUAAGGUUUUUCACAUAAAUUUAUAUCUUUUUAUUCUAUUUUUUUUUCAUAUUGCCUAUUUUUGUUUUUCCAUGGUAGUAUUAAUAUUAAAUAAUUUCAAACUAUAUAAAUUUCAAACUAAUUUUAAUUAUAUUUUAUUUUCUUUCAUAUUUUUCAUAGUAAAACUAAACAUAAGAAAACUAUUUUUCUUAGUAUUUUUUCCUUAAUACUUUCUAGGAACCAAACAUAAUAAUAACCUUAUUUAAGUGCUUUUCUAUUUCACAACUAAUUGACACUGACUUUUGGGUGUAAAUGUCGUCUAGUCCAUCGCUCAAGCAUCAGGUGUGAUUAAUCAUUUGUUCAAUGCCCGAAAACUUCGAUUGGGUUGAUUUGUUUGUCUAAAAGUCCUAGUCAGCUUGGUCUGUUCAUUCCAUCUGGCAUUGUAGAAGAAGGAAAUCUUCUCACCUCUUACACCAGACGGAGCUUAUCUUGGCCCAAAUAAAGUGAUCCUAGACAGAUUAUCUACUUACCUUGGCCGACCAAAGGGUCUUAAGUUUGGGGAGGCCACGUGGAGGCAAGCGCUCCCUACAAUGCCCUCUAAUUUGUUUGCUAUGCUCGAUCGGGUAGCUGACUGGUUGAGGUAGGACGAAUUAUCUGUUUUUUCAAGUUUUUGGGCACCAAGGAAUGCGUGUCAUUUAGGGUUUUAAUAAUGUGUCACAUCAAUCAAGGCUAGUUGUUCAACGGUGUGUCUCUUUAUUUGGCUUUGGAAAGCAUUGCCAGGCGACAUGUCCCUUGGAGUGCCUAGGUUUUUUGUUCCCUAUAAAUAGUAAAGCUCCACACUUUUGGGUCACCUUUUCACUUUCUCCCGUUUCAGAGUUCUCUUGCCUGUGCUGCUCUUUCCCUGCCAUUGGUCUUGCCACCAGCUAUUCUUUUUUGCUUUCAUCACCGUUGUCAACUGGUUUGCCACCGUAGGAACUCUUAUUCGCUAGAGAGCGUCUUCAGUUUUGGUUUUGGUAAGUUUUCUACCGUCUGUUCGUUCCUUUGUUGUGUUUGCAAUUGUUCCUUGGGUUGUAUUAUUCUUGUUUGUUUAGAGAGAAAAUGGACAUACCGAUGUCCAGAUUCUAGAUUUUUCUUUUUGUGUUUUCUUGAUCGUUCUUGUUGCUUAUUUGGGGGAGGAAACAGGUGUACCGAUAUCCAAAUCUAAGGUUUUUCAGUGUCCCCGCUUGCUUCUAUGUCGUCAUUGUGUUUAUGUCAUCGGUUCAUGCUUUUUUGUUGUCAUCACGUUGGGGCGAUGGGCAUGACUCUUCCUUUAUCAUUGGCCAAGAGACUUGCUUUGCAAGUUUCGAUAGCCAAAUUCGUCUAGGUUCGGACUAUGGUCUGUCUAGGCACAUUUUUGUAUUGUUGAAGCAACGCUGAAAGGCGGAUUGGCCAACGCAGGUUUCUAUAUGACCCAAAUCCACUUAGUCUAAUGGAAUAAGGGGAAGUUGUUUCUACCAGCGGAAGGCCUCAACAAAGUGGACAGAAAAAUACUAGAGUCGGGCACCUUAGACCGAACCGUCCAGUUGCUGUCUUAUCCAAGCAAAAAUUUCAAGCUCGUUUUCACAUUAUGGACACUAUCUUAAUUCAGUUAACUAAUGGUGAGGCUCUAUUCUCUGCUAACCUUCCGAACUACAUGAUGUAUUUCACCAAGGAGUGGUUUGCUAAUGGGCUUUGUUUACCCAUUCCUUCCUUCUUCAAACAAUACCUUCAUUUCACGCAAAUCCUCCCAACUUUUCUUCAUCCGAAUAUUGUCCGAUUAUUGAUAGGGUGUAGCGUGUUGGAUAUGCUCUUCCAAUUGGAUCUUUCCCUAUUGGAAGUCUCGUUCAUCUAUACUCUGAAAAUGAGCCAAAAUGAAAGGUUCAGCUUAUCCGCCCAUAUUUCUUCCCUCCAACUAGUGAUUGGUAUUCCAAAUUCAUGUAAAGGCUAGGUCAAGGAGCAUGUUUUGGUGUCUGAGCCUUAGAGUGGUUCAUAUGAUGGUCCAGACAGAGUUUUUUCUCCACAACGUUCGUUGAAGAUUCCGAGUAAGCUAUGCUUUUGUCACUUUCUUUAUACCUUGCUAUUAUUUCCUCUUUUUUGUGAAUCUACUCACGAUCUUUCUGUUCGUCUAAUGCAGGUAAGGAGAGGCAGGAACACAUUGUAAAGUGGGUGGAAAAGGCUUCAUUUGCCCAUCUAAACAAGUUGUUCGAAAUAGACGUUGUUGAAUGGGCUUACAAAGUUCUCGUCUUGGACAAAAACCUUUUGGCACUGAUUGGCAGUCCUAAGUCGUUUAUCAUUCUUAUGUUUCCCUGGCUAACCCCUUCGUCUCUGGUGCUUGGUGAACACUUCGUGCUAAAGGAUUUGCCUUUCUACGAAGUUGCUCGUUUGGCAGAUUCUGAGGCACGCUAGGCUCGUUAAGAGGAACGGGAGAAAAAACGCCAAGAAGGGACAUUGAGGCAAGUGCCAGUUGCUAGACGUUCGUUUUCCAACUCCGUUGUCCGUCCACCUGCUUAGAAAAAGAAAAAGACUAUGGCUCGUCCUAUUCAAAAGGCGAGGACUCCACCUCCUGUCUCCCCAUAUUCAUCGUCAGCUUCAUCUUCUUCUUCCUCUAUGUCUUCUUCAUCUUCUAGAAACAAACCAGAAGCAGGGGUUAUGCAACCUAUGCCUCCUAUUAUUUGUGAAGAAGAGGAAGAGAAGGAGGACAUGGCUUCCAACUUGAGGACCAGAUUCCACAAGAGGCACCGUAAGCGUCUGUCCGAAUCCAUUACUGUCAUUCCUUCUCUUUCGAAGAAAGCCUGCCUGGAACCUACCCUAAAUCCUCCGUCCAAGUCAACAUUGUUGACCACUACUGUAGUUGUCACUUCAAAAUCGAAUAAGAAAUCUCCCUUUGUUGAAUGCUGAAUAUGGAGUAUUAUAUUGUUGUCCCAAUGCAUCACCACCAGUCACCAUUUGAACUCCAGGGGUUGCAUGGAUGAAUGCUGGAUUUCCUGGCCCCCCUUGCCAUGAUGCCGGAUUAACUGAAAUGAAACCAAUCACAAAAUUUGAAUGAUCCUCAGCAAUUUUUGCUGCUGCAGUUGUGUAGUCUCCCUUGGCAAGGUUACCAGAAGAACUCAUUUCUGCAACAAGCAACAGGCCCCUACCACGAGGCAAACCCUACAAACAUUGCAAGAGUAAUAAGAAAUUAGAGAAACAAUAGUUCUAAGGCUUUUCUACAAGUCCAGACUAAUAUU